rnacentral:rRNA from 1 species
CGGCGGACGGGUGAGUAACGCGUGGGUAACCUGCCUCAUACAGGGGGAUAACAGUUAGAAAUGACUGCUAAUACCGCAUAAGACCACAGCACCGCAUGGUGCGGGGGUAAAAACUCCGGUGGUAUGAGAUGGACCCGCGUCUGAUUAGCUAGUUGGUAAGGUAACGGCUUACCAAGGCGACGAUCAGUAGCCGACCUGAGAGGGUGACCGGCCACAUUGGGACUGAGACAUGGCCCAA